UAGUUAAAUUUUCAACUAUUUUUACCACAAAAAAUUAGCGUAAUUGAUGGAAUAAUCGAACAAUUGCACAUGACUCACUAUGUGUAUCUCAUGUCAAUGUACAAUGACUAGUUUUUAAUAGUGGAAAUAGAUGAAAUUUUAACUG
rfam:Gossypium raimondii Chr11_contig_33, whole genome shotgun sequence.